rnacentral:rRNA from 1 species
UACAGAGGGUGCGAGCGUUAAUCGGAAUGACUGGGCGUAAAGGGUGCGUAGGUGGUUAGAUAAGUCAGAUGUGAAAUCCCUGGGCUUAACCUAGGAAUGGCAUUUGAGACUGUAAGACUAGAGUAUGGUAGAGGGAAGUGGAAUUUCCGGUGUAGCGGUGAAAUGCGUAGAUAUCGGAAGGAACAUCAGUGGCGAAGGCGACUUUCUGGACCAAGACUGACACUGAGGCACGAAAGCGUGGGUAGCAAACAGG